rnacentral:rRNA from 1 species
UACGUAGGGGGGCAAGCGUUUGUCCGGAUUUAUUGGGCGUAAAGAGCGUGUAGGCGGCUAGAUAGGUCCGUUGUGAAAACUCGAGGCUCAACCUCGAGACGUCGAUGGAAACCAUCUGGCUAGAGUCCGGGAGAGGAUGGUGGAAUUCCCAGUGUAGAGGUGAAAAUUCGUAGAUAUUGGGGAAGAACACCGAUGGCGAAGGCAGCCAUCUGGACCGACACUGACGCUGAGGCGCGAAAGCGUGGGGAG